GGGCCCGCACAAGCGGUGGAGCAUGUGGUUUAAUUCGAUGAUACGCGAGGAACCUUACCAGGGCUUAAAUGUAGUCUGACAGCUUUAGAGAUAGAGUUUUCUUCGGACAGAUUACAAGGUGCUGCAUGGUUGUCGUCAGCUCGUGCCGUGAGGUGUCAGGUUAAGUCCUAUAACGAGCGCAACCCCUGUCGUUAGUUGCCAGCAUGUAAAGAUGGGGACUCUAACGAGACUGCCGGUGCAAACGCGAGGAAGGUGGGGGAUGACGUCAAAUCAUCACGGCCCUUACGGUCCUGGGCCACACACGUGCUACAAUGGCCGGUACAGAGAGCAGCCACGUCGCAAGGCGGAG
rnacentral:rRNA from 1 species